AUCGCUUCUCAGCCUUUUGGCUAAGAUCAAGUGUAGUAUCUGUUCUUAUCAGUUUAAUAUCUGAUACGUCCUCUAUCCGAGGACAAGAGAAAAAAAAAAAAAAUUGGCAAUGGACUUGAAUAGUCAUUUCUCCAAAGUCCAAAUGUUC
rnacentral:snRNA from 1 species